AAUGUGGGCAUGUUAUUACAGGG
rnacentral:piRNA from 1 species